rnacentral:rRNA from 1 species
AUUGAACGCUGGCGGCAUGCCUUACACAUGCAAGUCGAACGGCAGCACGGGAGCAAUCCUGGUGGCGAGUGGCGAACGGGUGAGUAAAGUAUCGGAACGUGCCCAGUCGUGGGGGAUAACGUAGCGACAGUUACGCUAAUACCGCAUACGAUCUAUGGAUGAAAGCGGGGGAUCGCAAGACCUCGCGCGAUUGGAGCGGCCGAUAGCAGAUUAGGUAGUUGGUGGGGUAAAGGCUCACCAAGCCGCCGAUCUGUAGCUGGUCUGAGAGGACGACCAGCCACACUGGGACUGAGACACGGCCCAGACUCCUACGGGAGGCAGCAGUGGGGAAUUUUGGACAAUGGGCGAAAGCCUGAUCCAGCCAUGCCGCGUGCAGGAUGAAGGCCUUCGGGUUGUAAACUGCUUUUGUACGGAACGAAAAGGUUUGGCCUAAUAAGCUGAGCUCAUGACGGUACCGUAAGAAUAAGCACCGGCUAACUACGUGCCAGCAGCCGCCGUAA